rnacentral:rRNA from 1 species
AUGAAGACCUUCAUCAAAACUCAAGUUCAGUCUUGCCUGAUCUGUCAACAAGCUAAACCUGAAAGGGUACAGUACCCUGGGCUCUUAUCACCUCUUCCAGUUCCCCCCAAAGCAUGGGAUACAAUGUCUAUGGAUUUUAUCUCAGGCCUUCCCUCCUCUUAUCAGUAUAACUGCAUCUUAUUGGUCAUUGAUAAAUUUUCCAAGUAUGGGCACUUUAUGGGGCUCACACAUCCUUUUAAUGCCCAAAAAAGUUGCUGA